GGCGUUUGUUAAAUGUCACCCAGAAAAUGUGGCCACUGAAUUGCUAGAGUUCUAUAAACAUGCUAAAUGUGUCAAACGAUUGGCAGAAGCCUCAAAGAUAAACGUGCAUAAAGGAUUUCCCUUCUGAACAUUUUCGUUUUUCAGGGUAGUGAUGCUGCUGCUCAAGGUGAAAUCUCAUUGCUUUCUUGGAACAGUGAGGCUCAAUAUUUAUAAGCAUUUACUUAUAAUGGAAGAACUGUUGUUUGGGAACUGAGGAAGCAAAAACCAGUGAUAAGGCUGAUUUUGUAGUUGACUGCUCUCAAGAUUCAAUGAGAAGACACUGCUGUGUCUUGCGGUGGAAUCCUGAUAUUACCACUCAAUUUCUUGUUGCAUCAGAUGAAGCUGGUUGACAUGCUCUAAGGGUAAUGAUCUUAUUGAUGGCAUUGCAUUUGCUGAUCAGGAUUAGUAUUUGUGGUGAAUUGUUCCAAGCAGCUUGGUGAUAUGAGGAAAUAUAAUGUCAACAUUAAACAGUUUGUAGGGCACACAAUAGUCCUUCCACAGCUUUCAAUCUGCUUAAUGGUGUGUUCAACUCCGACGAGGCCUGCCAACUUAGAGGUAAUGGCAGGGCAAACACACUGGACCUGGGUGAGCCGAACAUGUUUGCAGCAGUCGGAUGAGGGGCUGUGGCCGAACAUGACAGCGCUGCAUGCAUUGACAAGGAGCCGCUGCUUCUCUUUGCACUGGGUAGGACUCAUGCCUCCUCUUGAGGUAGGAACCUCAGAAGCACCUACUACCACCACUAGCACAAUUACAACCAUUCCAGCCCGCCAUGAGCUUGCCAUCAUACGCAGCUCUCUUUCUUUGUAUUCUUUUCUGGCCUUCUCUGCGUUUGUUGGGGUUCCUUGAGUUGAAUG